UACGUAGGGGGCAAGCGUUGUCCGGAAUCAUUGGGCGUAAAGAGCGUGUAGGCGGCUCGAUAAGUCCGCUCUGAAAGCCCGGGGCUCAACCCCGGGAGGCGGGCGGAUACUGUCGAGCUAGAGUCCGGAAGAGGCGAGUGGAAUUCCUGGUGUAGCGGUGAAAUGCGCAGAUAUCAGGAGGAACACCGGUGGCGAAGGCGGGUCUCUGGGCCGUUACUGACGCUGAGGAGCGAAAGCGUGGGGAGCGAACAGG
rnacentral:rRNA from 1 species